rnacentral:misc_RNA from 1 species
AUAUAAGCUGUGAAAUGCAAAUGAACGGUGUGUGACGGAAAAACAAAGUAGUGAAAGUUUGAUUUUAUUUAGAAAUUCUGAUGCUCUGACAGGAUUUACCAUUUAGACAGAAUGGAUGACAGAAAUUGGAGGAUAAUUAUAUUUGUUAGCUUGUUUCACAUCGUUUUGUCACAGGACACGUUUUACUUCAGUUCCAAACCUGAAGACAUGGAUGUGAUCGAGGGCUCGGAAGUCCUGCUGCGUUGUGAUGUUUCCAAUCGCCAGCACAUAGUGUUCAGCUGGGCCCACAACAACAAACCUAUAGUUCCCACCAGCCGGCGCUUUCAGGAGGGGAGCCACCUUCAUAUUCUCCGUGUCACACGAGAGGAGGACUCCGGCACUUUUUCAUGCAUUGCGACUAAUAAAACCUCAGGGUAUUCCCUUGUCAGUGAGGCUGCUCUCAACAUACAAUGGAUAGAUAAAAUAGCCACUGUAGAACUGAAGCGCCCAAAACCGGAGGAGCUGGUCCUGAAUACAGAGGUUCUACUGAAGUGUCAAAUCACGGGCAAUCCAGACCUACUGUUCGACUGGUACCACAACACUUUCAGAUUGUUUAACAAGAACAGAAUUAAGAUAUUGGACAAGGGCUCCAAAGUUCGCAUCACAAAUGUUACUGCAGAGGACAACGGCAUCUAUUCAUGUCGUGCGGAGAAUACUGCUGGCGCCCGCUACAGUUCCGAGAACUUCCUGUUGAACGUCAAAGCCCUCGGUACCCCUCAUCUGAUUGAGAGCCAGUUCACACGAUCCCUGACGGUCCUGAGGAAUGACCCUGCUCGUCUGGAUUGUCCAUUUACAGAAGCAGUUCGAGUUGACUGGUUCUCACUCCAUGAAAAGAUAUCCAACAGUAGCAGGUAUCAAGUCUUUGAGAAUGGCUCAUUGUAUUUCCCAAGGGUACGGUCCUCAGACGAGGGGAUCUACAGGUGCGAGGGCCUAGGAGCUAACCGGAGAAUCCCCUCCCAAACCUUCACCUCAGAGAUCUUCAUUGCGAGUCUGGAAGAGUUCAAGAUGGAGUCAUUUGAGCCUCGUUUAAUUUCCAACUUUCCAAUUGUCAUCCCCAUGCACACUCGAUUUGUUGUCAAAGUAUUUCCUCCUGAUGGUCGACCAAAACCCACACUGGAAUGGCGGGAUCGAAGUGGUCUAGUUAUUGGGCCAAGUGGUAACAUACAUGUAAACGAAACUGACCUGAUUUUUGAAAGACCACAAGAAAUGGACUCUGGCAAUUACACGGCCAUCAUCCGCAACAUUGCCGGAGAAAAACUACAGAAAGUUUGGAUCAUAGUCUCAGUACCUCCAACUAUUCGGAGACCUCCAUUAAACAUGGCCGUCCAAGAAGACAGUCCAGCCAUAUUGAGCUGUCAAGUGUCAGGAACUCCAUACCCUGUCACCACGGUUAUCUGGGAGAAAGACGGCCAGCUAAUCAGAAUGGGCUCUAUGAGGCACAUCAUUGACUUGGAGCAUGGAACUCUAACAAUACAGCAGACUGAGAUGGCUGAUGCAGGGACGUACAAGUGUGUGGCCAACACCACGGGACAGAGCUUGGUGGAGUCUCAGGGUGCCUACCUCCACGUC